GUCCCCUUCGUCUAGAGGCCCUUUCACGGCGGUAACAGGGGUUCGAAUCCCCUAGGGGACGCCA
rnacentral:tRNA from 1 species